AAUGUAACCUAAGAAAAAUGUGGGGAGAAAUACAGGUUGGAACCCUGAGCUGUAGUCAUAGGCAUGAGCCACCGCACCCAGCCUUUGAACUUUCAUACCUUUAGUACACAAAUGCAUCUGUAAACAAUAAAUAGAAUGUUCAAAAUGCUUAUGUUAUUUAGAUGAUAUCCUAUACCAUAAAGAAUAUAUAGACAGAAAUUAAUUAUUUCUAUAUAUUCUAUUCUAUAUAUUUAUGUCUAUAGACCAUAUUUUAUAAAUAUAUAUUCUAUAUGUUUGUGUCUACAGAUCAUAUUUUAUUAAUAUAUAAUCUAUAUAUUUACAUCUAUAUAUUCUAUAAAGAAUAUAGAAUAUAUGGACAUAAGUUCUUUAUGUCUGUAUAUUCUUUUUGCUUGCCUUUUUUUGCACAAAAUGUCGUGUUUAAGUUUCAGUCAUGCUGAUAGAUGAGGGCACAAUUUGUUUAAUUUUAAGAGCAGGAUAGAUUUUAUUAUAGGUAUAUUCUACAAUGUAUUUAUGCAUUCUCCUCUCAAUGAACAUCUAAGUGGCUUCCAGAUUUUUGCUAUUACACACAAGGCUGUAAUUUGUUUACACAAAGCUUGGGGCUCAAAUCCAGAGAUCUUGGAUUGCAAUGCAGGUGUCAAGAUUUUCAAUGGUUCCCUGGAAGAACUUAAUGGGCAUCCAGGGUUCCUCAGUAAGACUCCAUCCAGACCAACUUAAUCAGAUUUGGAGGGUGAUGUUUAGAUAUUACUUUUGUAAAAGAACCCCUGAAGAGAUUCUAACAGGAGCCUAGGAUUGAGAUAAGCCCCUCCUCUAGAGAAACUCUUGCAUUUGCUGGACAAGGAAUAAUGCGCAUGAAUGUGUAUUGUGCCACAUUCUGGAGCAGUGGUUCUCAUGUACAAUCAUGGCAGAGAACUUCUGUUCUAGAAUAUAAGCAUGGUAAUGGCAUUUCCAGGUGGUUCAGGUGGUAGGGAUACAUAUAUCUUUAACUGUCCUCAAUAUUGCUAGUUGCCAACCAAAGAAAAGAUCAAUUACAUGUUUCCAUCAACACACAGCAUUACCACUGUUUGCAAAUGAAGUGCAUUCCUUUGUGAUAUUUUGUAAUCCCUUGACUCAGUGACAUCAGAUUUUUUGUGAUGACUAUCCAUUUGGGUUUUGUCUUCAAUAAAUUUUAUUCCAUAUAAUCUUCCCAUCUUUAAAUGUCUUGAGGAUUUUUUAUAUUACUAAUUUGUUGGGUAUAAAUAUGUGUAUAUGUAUAUAUAUAUCAUCUAGAAACUAUCCAAGUCAAUAAAUUGAAGUUACAUGUG
rnacentral:lncRNA from 1 species